AAGGGCAAUCAGAGGAGGAUGCCCCUGGAACUGAAGGGGCAGGGCUUUGCAGAGCAGGUCAAGGUGCAUGGGUAGAGGCGCUGGGUGUUAACGCUCUGAGGAGUUGACGUGCCCCGUCCCGUCUUUCCUGCUCCCAUCCGUGCUGACACGCUCCCCAGGGGUGGCGAGGGGACACAGAAUGCAUUCCAUAGCCUCAGAAAGCCAGUGGACAGCCCACAGCCCCUGGCCUCCUGAGCCAGGACUGGACAAUGCUCAGAGGUGGUGUGACUAAGCCUGGACCUGUGGUCUCCUCGGUGAGGGCUGAGCAGCUGGGUGGGGAUGGAGGACCGAGGGGAGAGGGAUGCCCCCGGCCCCGACCUGUUCGGCUGCCCUGCGCACAGGUGCCCAAUAGCAGAAGCUGGUGGAGGUCCCAGUUCUGUUGCUCAGUUAUGAGGAGACGGAAUGUCAGUGCCCUGGUAUCUGGGGUGUGUUUAACCUUUGCAAGCUUCUGAUCACAGACAUGCAGCAGCACCUACCUGAUGGGUAUCUGUGGCGCCCCGGGAAACAAAGCCUGCUGCCUGCAGAUCAUCUCACUCUGUGGAGCCUGGGAGGCCUGGACUCCUGAGUCCGACCCUGUUCCAGCAAGAAGUGAGGGAUGCCACUCCCAGCACAGCCUCCCAUGAAGUGGGAGGAGCAAGGCGUGGGAUGCGGCUGGAGCCAGGGCACCGCCAGACCUCCUAGUGGUCCAGGCUGGAGCUUUGCAUGUUUUCCGGAAGGCAGCGAUGUCACUGAUGGGCCACCCCAGAACUGCGACUCUGUAACUCCACGGAAUGUGUAAUUAUAGCAACACAAGCAUCAAAUUACCAAGGACAAGUAGCUGCAAAGUAAUUACAUGAUUCUUUGUUACUGGGAGGGUUUGGGGAUUUCUCCCCCCUUUUAAGCUUUAAAAGCACCCUUUGAGUGGGCGGGUGGGGAAGCAGGUGGCAGGUGGGCCAGAGGAUAAGAGAGACUAGUGAGGGAGUUCCAUUCGCUCCUCCUCAAGCUGAGAGGGGCCACU
ensembl:lncRNA